rnacentral:rRNA from 1 species
AGUGAACGUUGGCGGCGUGGAUUAGGCAUGCAAGUCGAGCGAGAACCGUAGCAAUACGGGGACAGCGGCGAAAGGGACAGUAAUGUGUAGGUACCUACCUCCGGGUUCGGGAUAGCUGCGGGAAACUGCAGGUAAUACCGAAUAACGUCUCCGGACCAAAGGUGUGAUUCCACCUGGAGAGGGGCCUGCAUCCUAUUAGCUUGUUGGCGGGGUAACGGCCCACCAAGGCGACGAUGGGUAGCGGGUGUGAGAGCACGACCCGCGUCAUUGGGGCGGAGACACUGCCCAGACACCUGCGGGUGGCUGCAGUCGUGAAUCUUCGGCAAUGGGCGCAAGCCUGACCGAGCGACGCCGCGUGCGGGAUGAAGGCCUUCGGGUUGUAAACCGCUGUCGUAGAGGAGGAAAUGCAGGGGGGUUCUCCCCUCUGUUUGACCUAUUCUAGGAGGAAGUACGGGCUAAGUUCGUGCCAGCAGCAGCCGCCG